AUUGAACGCUGGCGGCAUGCCCUACACAUGCAAGUCGAACGGUAACAGGUCUUCGGAUGCUGACGAGUGGCGAACGGGUGAGUAAUACAUCGGAACGUGCCUAGUAGUGGGGGAUAACUACUCGAAAGAGUGGCUAAUACCGCAUGAGAUCUACGGACGAAAGCAGGGGAUCGCAAGACCUUGUGCUACUAGAGCGGCCGAUGGCAGAUUAGGUAGUUGGUGGGAUAAAAGCUUACCAAGCCGACGAUCUGUAGCUGGUCUGAGAGGACGAUCAGCCACACUGGGACUGAGAAACGGCCAAGACUCCUACGGGAGGCAGCAGUGGGGAAUUUUGGACAAUGGGCGCAAGCCUGAUCCAGCAAUGCCGCGUGCAGGAUGAAGGCCUUCGGGUUGUAAACUGCUUUUGUACGGAACGAAAAGCCCCGGGUUAAUACCCUGGGGUCAUGACGGUACCGUAAGAAUAAGCACCGGCUAACUACGUGCCAGCCGCCGCCGUAA
rnacentral:rRNA from 1 species